UCAGUGCUCUUAACCACUGAGCCAUCUCUCCAGCCCUUUUUGGCUUUGCUUUUGUUUUCAGUCUGUGGGUAGGCCCAGGGCACCAAACUUAGUUUAUCAGGCUUGAAGACAGUACCUUAACUCACUUAGCCAACCUGCUAGCCCCAGGCUGUGGUUUCCCGAUGAAAGAGAAAUAAAUUCCUGUGUCUGCUUUGCCUCAGCAGGAAAUCAGACGCUAUCAGUUUGGCUCAGGAGCAAUGGCAGCGGUCUUCAAAUAAACAAAGACUAUGAGAAGCAAGUAGCCUUCCUAUCUGGAAGUGGGAACCAGAGCACCCAUCCACAAGACGCCUAGGAGAUCAAAGAUCUCAGGGAAAGACAAGUCCAAACCAGUUAACCCAGUGCCUCUGCUAUCAACUGUUGUUCACAAGCUGCUGCUGUUGCUUUGUAAGAUCUUAGUGUAUGGGAAUGUGAGUGCAUGUGCCUUCAGAGGACAGAGGCACCGAAUUGCUCAUAGCUGAAGUUAUAAGUGAUUCUGCGCUGCCCAGUGUGGGUGAAGGUUUCUCUGUGUAGCCCUGGCUGCCUUGGAGCUCACUUUGUAGACAAGGCAGGCUUUGAACUUAGUGAUUUACCUGCCUCUGUCUCCCAAGUGGAGCACUUGGAAGAUUAAAGAAGGGAGAUUGUCCAAAAUUCAAGGCUAGCCUGGGUAUGUAAUAAAACCCUAUCAUCAAAACAACAGAGAGGCCCGCUGCCAUCGUUGUGUGACCUACCUGUAGCCCGAGUCAGCAAAGCUGAACACAUGUGGGUGCUGAGGAACAACCAGAGGUGAGCAGCCUGUGCUGUCACCUGAUACCAUGGUGGCAUCCUGGCCUGUGCUGCCAUAGAGGGCUGUGUCUGGGUCUGUGACCCUGCAGCAGCAGAGAUCUGUGUUGAUGUCAAUGGCCUAUGUUACCACCCAAAGCCAGUCAGACAUUCCUGGUGUGGGCUGCCUCCUGGGGCCAUGUUGAUGUCUAAGGGCUUUGCAGAUGUCCAGGGCUGGGUACACCCCUCACCAGCUGCAGCAUUUGGGAGAGUGGGCGGUGAAUCUCACCUGGGCAGCACAGUAGAGCUGGCACUGGUGGCAGGGCCUCAGCUGAGCCAGCCCCAGAGGCAUAAGGAAGGGAGAGCUGGCCUUGCCUCUCACCUGGGAAAAGCAGGAAAGCUGGCAGGGUGACCAACUCAGCCUCCAUCCAGGCCCAGAUUCAGGGGUCUGAGUCGGCCCAUGCCAACAUCUACCCCAUCUAUGAAUCGCUGGAGUACAUGACAGGGCCAGUCUUACAGAACCAAGGCUGAAGGAUCUCCAGACACAGAGCAACAACAGGAUAUCGAGAGGAGUCUUGGCGAGUAUUGAUAGUGUUGCAGCAGCCAGAGAGGCCUUGAACCAGACUGAUACCUCGUGGCAACGAAUGGGCAAAGCUGUUACGGCAAAGGGGUACACUGUACAACACACCGCAGCUUCCACGGCAGGAUGGGGUUUGGUUUAUUUGGCUGGCUGGUCUUUUAUUUUAUUAUUUUAUUUUAUUUUACUUUACUUUGGGAGUAGAUUUCAAGGGUAUAGGACAGAUGUGAAGGGGCAGUGAGAUAACUGAUAUUGGGGCAUAUGAUAUGGAAUUCACAAGAAUCAAUAAAAAGUAAACAACAACAAGAAACAAACAAACAAAACCCACUCAGGAGAUUUUGGAACAUUGAAGGAAUUCCAUACAUACUUCCCUUCCAUACUAUAUCAGGAACUGUCUUAGACUUUGCCACAGAGGAGGAGAGAGGAAAUCAGAACAAUCCAAUGUGUUAUGGAUAAGCAGUGGGGUUAAGUUCUUGGUAGUUAGACUGAGUAUAUAACCAAAUAGAAUAGCUAGGACCUCCAACUAAACAGACCCAACCACCAACCUGUUGGCACAGCUGGGGGACUUGCAAGCUGUCCCCAACAGAGACAGGUCCCUUACAGCAGAGCAAAAAGCUAACCAGAAUUUCCCAUCUCCGCUGUCACAUAGACUUGAAGAAAAGAGUCAAGAAGGUGCUGUGCCUGGCCCUGUCUAGUUUCUUCUUCCAAAGUCAGAAGUCAAAUAAUCCACUGUUUCUGUGCACCAAAGAACAGUAGCAGCAACUGGCAGCCUCUAAGGCUCCUCGUUUCCAUGGGCACUGUGAUGGGCUGUCUGACAUCUUCACUCAAGCCUCAUGACAGGAGACGCUAUGAUUCUGCCUUAUUCCACUGGCCCAUUCUGCCUUCUAUGGAGUCGGGCAUGUGGUGGUUUGAAUAGGUAUAGUUCCCACAGACUCAGGUGUUUGAAUGCUUGGCCAUAGGGAAUAGCACUGUUAGGAGGUGUGGUCUUGUUGGAGUAGGUGUGGCCUUGUUGGAGGAAGUGUGUCACUGUGGAGGUAGGCUUUGAGGUCAUAUAAAAUCAAGCUCUGUACAGUGUAGAACACAGUCUCCUCCCUGGCUACCUGUAUGUAGAUCAAGGUGUAGAACUCUCAGCUCCUCCACCACCAUAUCUGCCUGCAAGCUGCCUUGCUUCCCAAGGUGACGAUAAUGGACUAAGCCUCUGAAACUGUAAGCCAACCCCAAUGAAAUGUUGUUCUUUACAAGAGUUGCUUCAGUCAUGAUGUUCCUUCAUAGCAAUAAAACGGAAACCAAAGCCAGGCGUGGUGACGCACGCCUUUAAUCCCAGCACUUGGGAAGCAGAGGCAGGUGGAUUUCUGAGUUCGAGGCCAGCCUGGUCUACAGAGUGAGUUCCAGGCCAGCCAGGGCUACACAGAGAAACCCUGUCUCAAAAAAAACAAACAAACAAACAAACAAAAAAAAAAAAACAGAAACUGAGGCAGGGUGUUUAGUUCUUCUGAGGGGACGAGUUUACACACUUUUCUCCUGGACGGGUUGAGGAAUAAAGAUGUGGCUUGCUUCUCUCAAUAACUGGAAGGCCAAGGAGACACAACAGCUGGUCUUGUGACACACACACACCCCCUCUAGCCCUCCUGUGAAGUCCCCUGCUGUUCUGUAGGCAAUACCCACAUGCUCCACACAUGUCAUUUGCUGCCAUAAUCUGGCAAAGCUGUGACUGCAAGGGCUGCUGGGGAUGUGUGCUGGGGUUUACCAUGCUGGCAGCCAUGCUGGACCACAUGUAGGAGGAGUCCUGUAUGAAGUUCCCAGCUCCCUCCCUCCACGCUUAGGACCACUGUGAGGAGUUUCUGGGUGUGUAAAUGGCUCAUAGUGGAAAUGGUUUCUCCUUCCUCCUCUCCCUUCCACCUUCCUGCCCCACGGCUCUACCUCCAAAUAAACCACAGCCGCCAUCUUGUUGACUCCGGGACAGUUUUAAAGAAACCUAGCUCAACAAGGAAGGAUGCUUCCUAGCUCCUGACAAAAGGAAGAAAAAAGUGGAGUGUUGGAGGUUCCUCUGAAAACUAAAAACAGAAUUACUACAGAGCCCAGCUAAUAUGGCUCCUGAGCAUAUUCCAAAAGGGCUCCGUAUCCUCCCACAGAGACACUUACACAGCCAUGUCUAUUGAUGCCCUACUCACAGUCGCAAAGAUGCAGAAGCAGCCCAGAUGUCAUCAAUAGACGAGGGGGCGAUGAAGUGCAGCACAGUCACCCUGAGAAAUCGCGUUCCUCUGCGAGGAAAUGAAGCUAUGGAAUCGAAAACAGAAUAGUCAACAACUGGAAAAACUAUGGGAAACCUACUGUUCUGAAUGCUGACUGAAAACACAAGAAACAGUAUGUCAGGGCAGGAACUCUUCUGUCUGGUUGGCCAUGUGCUCUUGACCCUGAUCUUUGUAACUAAGGAGCGUCUGAUUCCAGUCCACUCUGGACACUCUUGAGAAAACAUCUGGCUCCCUGUCAAACCACUGUGACCUCGUAGCCAUUCGUGCUGGUGCCAGCCAUCCUUGCCUUAAACAUCUUGCGUCCCUUCUUUCUUCCCUUCGUAUCCUUUCAGCCGACGUCCAGUGGGUGCUCACUGGAAACCUGACCAUGAAGAAGAAAGAGGCCCUGCUCUCAGGAGAGUGGUAACAGAGACGUGAAAUCCAGGCGAGGACUACUCAGAGCUAGGAUGGGCUGGAAGACAGGAGGAAAUUGACCGGUUUUUGAUGGGAAGCCCUUAGAAGGAUUCUUUGUGAGCACCACCUUUAAGAUAAAGCAGAAUACAAGCCAGUGUUCACUAUUGUAAAACAGAGAGGAGGAAACAGUCCACAAAGAGAAAACCCCACGCUGGAAGGCUCAGGGAGGUACCUGGAGCUUUUACAGGAGACGGAACCACUCUUCCUUGUCCCUCUUUUAGGAAAAUGCUGAACACAUAAAGGUAUGCAGAGAAAUGCAGACUGAAGGGUUUCUUGAGAGAAUGCACAGUAUACAAUCUUUGUUAUUAACACACCUCCCAUGCCUCCUUGGGCUGGAGAGGUGGCUCAGGGGUUAAGAGCACUGACUGCCCUUCUGGAGGUCCUGAGUUCAAUUCCCAGCAACCACAGGGUUGGUGGCUCACAACCAUAUGUAAUGGGAUCCGAUGCCUUCUUCUGGUGUGUCUGAAGACAGCUACAGUGUAGUCAUAUUAAAAAACAAAAACAAAUCCAUGCCUCCUCUCUGUACAGCAAAGGCCAGACGGAGGAAAGGCCAUCCGGCGGCGUACAUAUAACACAUGAAGGAAACUGGGUGACAACAGCCAAUUCUCAUCUACAAAGCUGGAUUUGUGUGUGCAUGAAAUCUCCAGAUACUGAAGUGUUAGCAUUACACAAGGAAUGUGAGAAAGAUGUUACAAUUAGUUAAGUACUUUGAAGGGUUAAGUGUGCCCUCCAGUUAGUUUGUUUUCUGUUGCUUCCAUCAAAAUAAGUGCUGGAUCAAAAUAAAGAAAAGACGAUUGUUUCCCUCGUGA